UACGUAGGAUCCGAGCGUUGUCCAGAAUUACUGGGUGUAAAGGGCGUGUAGGUGGGUCUCUAAGUCGGUGGUGAAAUCCUGCAGCUUAACUGUAGAAUUGCCCUCGAUACUGGAGAUCUUGAGUGCGGUAGAGGGAGAUGGAAUUCAUGGUGUAGCGGUGAAAUGUGUAGAUAUCAUGAAGAACACCAGUCGCGAAGGCGGUCUCCUGGUCCGCUACUGACACUGAGGCGCGAAAGCGUGGGGAGCAAACAGG
rnacentral:rRNA from 1 species